GACAAACGCUGGCGGCGUGCUUAACACAUGCAAGUCGAACGGAAAGGCCCUUCUUUUGUGGUGUGCUCGAGUGGCGAACGGGUGAGUAAUACGUGAGUAACCUUCCUUUGACUUUGGGAUAACUUCAGGAAACUGGGUCUAAUACCGGAUAGGAGCUCCUGCUGCAUGGUGGGGGUUGGAAAGUUUCGGCGGUUGGGGAUGGACUCGCGGCUUAUCAGCUUGUUGGUGGGGUAGUGGCUUACCAAGGCUUUGACGGGUAGCCGGCCUGAGAGGGUGACCGGCGACAAUGGGACUGAGAGAGGGCGCAGACUCCUACGGGAGGCAGCGGUGGGGAAUAUUGCACAGUGGGCGGGAGCGUGAGGCAGCGACGCCGCGUGCGGGAAGAAGGCCUUCGGGGUGUAAACCGCUUGGGCCUGUGACGAAGCGUGAGUGACGGUAAUGGGUAAAGAAGCACCGGCUAACUACGUG
rnacentral:rRNA from 1 species